CCGUAACGUCAAAGUACGUUACAAUAUUAUACACAAUUAGAAAAUAGACGCCAGGGUCGAGACGAAGAUCUUGCUACCCGAAGUCAUGAACGAUUAAUCCGAAUUCUUUACCGGGUUGUCCAACUGAAAUUCGAGAACAAAUAGCUUGUGCUAGAUUCAUCAAUGCUCUAUCUGAUCAAAGUCUUCAACAAAUUUUAAGAUUGGCUGCUCCCACUUCACUUCAUCAAGCAAUAAUUAAAGAUUUAGAAAUAGAAGCGAUAAAUAAACAGAAUCUUAGUUCCAAACAUAUUCGUCAAAUUGAAACUCAUCAACCGAUAAAUGAAAUAAAAGAACAAUGCAUUGAAUAUCAGAAUAGAAAUGUUUCUUUUUCAACUUAUAAUUCUCAGUCACAGAAUUAUAUUAAUAAUGAUUCUAGAAAGCUUGAGAGGGAAUGUCUUUUCUGUAAAAAGAAAGGACAUACUUUUGAAUUUUGCUUUUCAUUACAUAAAUCAUUUAAACAAAGAGAACAAAAAAAAUUGAAAAGGAAAAAUAGUGAUAAUAAUAAUAAUCAAACCUGGAUAAAUUCCAAUUCACAAAAUAAAUCUCAAGAUGAAUUUGUUAUUCGUAGAGGUAUUAAUUCUGAUCUCUAUGCUAGGAACCAUUAAUGGAAUUAAUUAUGGAUGGAUUAUUGAUACUGGAGCUGAAACAUCUGUUAUUCGUUCAGAUUUAGUAAGAAAUUUCCCUUUGAGUGCGUCUUCUUCAAUUUUACGCAUGGCAAUGGGACAAACUUCCAAGGUCUUUGGCAAAAUUUUUGCCGAUAUUGAUAUUGAGAAAUAUUUUCAAAUUUCUCAUGAAUUUUUUGUUUCAGAUAUUGAGGAUGAGGGGAUUUUGGGAAUGGAUUUUUUUCAAAACAUAAUUGUAACUUGAAUAUACAGUCUUACUCUCACAUCUAAAGGAAUAAUUAUUCCAUUUCUUACAGUAAAUACUGCAAAUUCUAAUCAAUCAAAUCAAGACUCUGCUUCUUUAAUAAGAGGAAUAAAAGAGAUUCCAGACUUUCUCAACGACCUUUACGAAAAAUCCUCAGAAAAAUUAGAUUCAAUUCAAGAAAAUCAAUUGAAAGAUUUACUCUUAGAAUUUCGUGAAGCAUUUGCUAACGGAAAAAAUGAUUUGGGACGGUGUUCGUUGGCCGAACAUAAGAUCAAUGUUGGAAAUAUACUAUUGACUUACAAAGUGGAUAUUGGCAAGUUCAAAUGCAUCCUGAGGAUAGAGAAAAGACGGCAUUGGUGACUGGGCUUGGAGGACUUUGGCAAUUUAAAGUUAUGCUUUUUGGUUUAUGAAAUGCUCCUGCUACUUUUGAAAGAUUAAUGAAAAUAGUUCUUAAUGAUUUAACAGGAUGUGCAGUUCUUAAUGGAUUUUUUCGAAUUCUACCAUCCCUAUCUCUUGGUCUUCUCGUUUUGGUCCCAAUUAUUUGGUUCAUGGUUCUACCAACUGUGGUUUCCCACGUCUGGAUCUCUUUUAUUCUUUUCAUCUAUACCCAUUCUACCGAGCCGUUUUUGUGGAAUUUCUCCGUUGGAAAUCUUCUUUCAAGAUUAGCCAAAAUUAAACCUGUUUCUGAGAAGCAGAUGGCAUCAUUCUUUCAAUUUUAUUCAAUGGAUUGGUCACUGACUUUGGCGAUGCAUAUUUCACAUUCCCCGAGGAGAAGACGGAAAUUGCGUGAAAGAGGAAUUGGAGUCAAGGUGAUCGGUGAUGGAAAUUGUCUCUUCAUCUCGUUAUCGAUUGCCUUUUCAAUGCACAAGAGAGACACGGCAAUGCCGGGUGACAUUUUUGAGGAUUUUGGAUGAUUCUGGGAUUCAUUCUUUGAUGAACUACCUACGUUGACGUAAUUUUGCAAGAUGAAUCGAUUGAGCGCAGUAAAAGUUCGCUGCGAACAACAGAUGUCUUCUUCGUACUUAUAACGGCCCAUCCAGUCCAAUAAAAGCCGUACAAAAAGAUACCAGACGGAAAAAUUUCUGGGUCCAGAAAGAGCAAAAGAAGCAAAGCCAACUUUCUCAAUAGUGGAUCAAAAUUUACGACCAAAAUACAUAAAAUUUGCACAGGGUUUUCAAACAGGUUAAAAAGUAAAAUCGUAAAUUUGUAUUUUUAUGUUUAUUCAAUAAGCCUUAAUUCUAAAACAAGUGUUUGUGCGUCAGUGUGUAGUAAUUUAACUAGUUACCAAAUAGCACAAAAAUAGAAGACCAGAAGGAAUUUGAAAGUAUAAUUGAACAUUAAAUAAUAAUUCUGAUUAUCUGGGAAAAACUAGAUCUAAUUUUACUUAGAAAUAAAAAGUUAGAUCUUAUCAAAAACUACAAACGCCUAAUAAGCGACAAAGACCUAAGCGAUAGUAAGAAAUCCUUUUCCUUAAUCCUUUAUCCGGCGAUAGUUAGCCUUGAUACUAGCUCAUGAGAAUACGUGAACUUUAUGACUUCAUUAUGGUGUAAAAGAACAUUAGCCCAAAUCUACGAUGCGCUUGUCCCCUAAGUCGAGUUUCAGCAGGUAACGGACCUAGAACGCAGAAACUACGAAGAUCUUGUCCCCGAAGUCGAGUUUCACCAGGUAACGGAGCUGGAGCGCGGAAACUACGAAGCGCUUGUCCUGGAAGUCGAGCUGCAUCAGGAGCGCAGGAUCAGGAGGUACAGAACCCGGUACUCGAAAUCUGCGGAGCGCGAUUCUCAUCCGUCCGCUCUACUGCGUGGUUGUUUCCGGACUGUGGAAUUCAGCUAGUUGAUUUUCGUCUCUAUAGAUCGAUGACGAGUAUUAUACGUGUAUAGCCGUAUUGUUAUAGAUAAUUUAGUUUGUCUCCUG
rnacentral:lncRNA from 1 species